GGCAACAUGGGGGGCCCUCCAUCUCCUUGAAGUUAGCUUUGAGUACUGCCUUUUCCUUUUCAGGAAAUAUGCCUCUCCUGACCAGAGAACAAAUGGACCUGACAAUAUGAACCUGAUUUUCUACUUGCUCUGUUACAAAGUAAUUGAUCCAUUUAUCCACUGAACAACAACAACAAAAC
rnacentral:lncRNA from 1 species